rnacentral:rRNA from 1 species
AACGAACGCUGGCGGCGUGCCUAACACAUGCAAGUCGCGCGAGAAAGUGGGGGCAACUCCAUGAGUAAAGCGGCGCACGGGUGAGUAAUACGUAGGUAACCUGCCCUCGAGACCGGGAUAACCUUCCGAAAGGAGGGCUAAUACCGGAUAAGACCACGAAGUUUCGGCUUCGGGGUCAAAGGUGGCCUCUGCAUGCAAGCUAUCACUCGAAGAUGGGCCUGCGCACCAUUAGCAGUUGGCGAGGUAACGGCUCACCAAGGCGAAGAUGGUUAGCUGGUCUGAGAGGAUGACCAGCCACACUGGGACUGAGACACGGCCCAGACUCCUACGGGAGGCAGCAGUGGGGAAUAUUGGACAAUGGGGAAACCCUGAUCCAGCGACGCCGCGUGGGUGAUGAAGGCC